rnacentral:rRNA from 1 species
AAUAUUGCACUAUGGGGGCAACUCUGAUCCAACCAUUCCGUGUGUGUGAAGAUUGUCUUCGGAUUUUAAAGCACUUUAAGUGGGGAGGAAGGGCUUUAUGCUAAUGCCCUGAAGUUUGGACGAUACCAACAGAUUAAGUACCGGCUAACUCUGUGCCAGCAACCGCGGUAAUUCAGAGGGUGCAAGCGUUAAUCGGAACUACUGGGCGUAAAGCGAGCGUAGGUGGUUCAGUAAGAUGGGUGUGAAGUCCACGGGAUUAGCCUGGGAGCUACUUUAAUGAAUGCUGAGCUAGAGUACGGUAGAGGGUAGUUGAAUUUCCUGUGUAGCGGUGAAUUGCGUAGAUAUAGAAAGGAACAAAAGUGGCGUAGGCGACUACCUGGACUGAUACUGACACUGAGGUGCGAAAGCGUGGGGAGCAAACAG